CUACGGGUUGCUGCAGUGAGGAAUAUUGCACAAUGGGGGGAACCCUGAUGCAGCAACGCCGCGUGGAGGAUGACGCAUUUCGGUGUGUAAACUCCUUUUAUAUGUCAAGAAAAUGACGGUAGCAUAUGAAUAAGCGCCGGCUAACUCCGUGCCAGCAGCCGCGGUAAUACGGAGGGCGCAAGCGUUACUCGGAAUCACUGGGCGUAAAGGACGCGUAGGCGGGUUGAAAAGUCAGGUGUGAAAGCCUACAGCUUAACUGUAGAACUGCACUUGAAACUCUCAACCUAGAGUAUGGGAGGGGCAGAUGGAAUUAGUGGUGUAGGGGUAAAAUCCGUAGAUAUCACUAGGAAUACCUAAAGCGAAGGCGAUCUCCUGGAACAUUACUGACGCUAAGGCGUGAAAGCGUGGGGAGCAAACAGGAUUAGAUACCCCCGUAGUC
rnacentral:rRNA from 1 species